UUGCCGCUGCCCGGCGCGUUAGGACCACAUUCCCCGGGGCCUUACAUUUCUGAAUGGGAGCCGCCUCUGCCUUAGGCCGUGGCUUUUGACACGUGGCACCCACCUGGUCCUUAGGGUCCAGGGCGAAUUAGGAGUCCGACGGCCAGGGCGGCGCUUGC
rnacentral:other from 1 species